AACUGACCUCAAAUCAGGAGACACCCGCCUUACCCCGCGC
rnacentral:rRNA from 1 species